rnacentral:rRNA from 1 species
AGUGAACGCUGGCGGUAGGCCUAACACAUGCAAGUCGAACGGCAGCACAGUAAGAGCUUGCUCUUACGGGUGGCGAGUGGCGGACGGGUGAGGAAUACAUCGGAAUCUACUUUUUCGUGGGGGAUAACGUAGGGAAACUUACGCUAGUACCGCAUACGACCUACGGGUGAAAGCAGGGGAUCUUCGGACCUUGCGCGAUUGAAUGAGCCGAUGUCGGAUUAGCUAGUUGGCGGGGUAAAGGCCCACCAAGGCGACGAUCCGUAGCUGGUCUGAGAGGAUGAUCAGCCACACUGGAACUGAGACACGGUCCAGACUCCUACGGGAGGCAGCAGUGGGGAAUAUUGGACAAUGGGCGCAAGCCUGAUCCAGCCAUACCGCGUGGGUGAAGAAGGCCUUCGGGUUGUAAAGCACUUUUGUUGGGAAAGAAAAGCAGCAGGUUAAUACCCCGCUGUUCUGACGGUACCCAAAGAAUAAGCACCGGCUAACUUCGUG